GAGCGCAAGGGAUGAUGGGGAUCUACGGAGGCAUUCACAGAAGUGCUAGCUUGCAUUGGUGUUAUGUCGGUGUGCAAUGCCGUUUUUCACUGCGUGAUCUGUUUUAAAUGCAAAGUGUGGAACAGUUAAGGCACCAGGAGUUGCUGCAACCAACUUCACCGUUCAUCUCAGAGGGAUCUGUAUUCCGUUUCCUGCUGGAUUAAUGCACUCCAAAAUCUACUUUCAGCUUGUCAACACAUUUGUUGUCAGUGCCACAGUUGAUCUCAAACUCCAACUGUGAAAGAAAGCAUGAUGUAUUGGUCAAUUGCACGGUAAGAAUAUUAAAGUAAGUAAGAUCAAACUAAAGCCAUCUCUUCACUUCAGUUAAUAAGGUGUCUAUAAAGGUCACUUACAGGAUAAAUGGUUGCUGUGUGAGCCUGCGGCGCAAGACUUGG